GGGGGUACCAUGGCUCAAUGGUAGAGCAUCCACUGUGUGUUCAGAAGGUCCCAGGUUCAAGCCUUGGCAUCUCCA
rnacentral:tRNA from 1 species